rnacentral:lncRNA from 1 species
UAAUCUGGAAAACCAACUGACAGUUCAGGAAUGUCUGCCAUUGUUUUCCGUAAUUAGGAGAAAAAUAAUUAUUCAUUACAUUUAAACUAGAUAAAUAGUUGUUGAUUGUUAAAAUAACUUCCUGGGCCUGCUUUUCACUUCUAGGUCUUUAAUAUAAACCACGCAACUGCAAAUUUAGAGGCAGACCAAAAACAAAAGCAUCAUGAAUAGUCUUCUUCAAAUUGCUGCCUUUUGUUCUACAGCGCAAGGACUUGCAUUCCUGUUGGUAAUUUGCUCCUCUUUAGUUCAUUUUCAACUUAAAACUUUACAGCUGGAAGAUAAAAGAUAAUUUACAUUUACGGAGAAUUUAAGAUUUAAAGGUGGUGUUGCUUGUUCCCAGAGGCUAUUAAUUAGUAAAUUACCUUACCCACAAUCAGGCUUGAUCCUAAUUUUUUUAUUUCCUGAUCUAAGGAAUGUGGUUCUGCCAGUGACCUCCUUUUACUGAAAUACUCAAGAUACGUAAAUGUUUUUAAAAUGCUCUGGGAUUUUUGUUGUUGUUGUUGUUGUUGUUGGUUGCACAGUUUGCAAGAAUUGCCAACAUCUCAGAUAUCCCUCCCCCACC